UAAUACGGAGGGUGCGAGCGUUGUCCGGAAUCACUGGGCGUAAAGGGCGCGUAGGCGGCCGAGCAAGGUUGCGGUGAAAGCCCGGGGCUCAACCCCGGGUCGGCCGUGGCAACUACUCGGCUCGAGCACUGUAGGGGCGGGUGGAAUUCCGGGUGUAGCGGUGGAAUGCGUAGAGAUCCGGAAGAACACCGGU
rnacentral:rRNA from 1 species